rnacentral:rRNA from 1 species
CGGAAACGACAAUAUUAAUUCUUCGGAGUGCUUUAUUGGGCGUCGAGCGGCGGACGGGUGAGUAAUGCCUAGGAAAUUGCCUUGAUGUGGGGGAUAACCAUUGGAAACGAUGGCUAAUACCGCAUAAUGCCUACGGGCCAAAGAGGGGGAUCUUCGGACCUCUCGCGUCAAGAUAUGCCUAGGUGGGAUUAAGCUAGUUGGUGAGGUAAUGGCUCACCAAGGCGACGAUCCCUAGCUGGUCUGAGAGGAUGAUCAGCCACACUGGAACUGAGACACGGUCCAGACUCCUACGGGAGGCAGCAGUGGGGAAUAUUGCACAAUGGGCGAAAGCCUGAUGCAGCCAUGCCGCGUGUAUGAAGAAGGCCUUCGGGUUGUAAAGUACUUUCAGUUGUGAGGAAGGGGGUAACGUUAAUAGCGUUAUCUCUUGACGUUAGCAACAGAAGAAGCACCGGCUAACUCCGUGCCAGCAGCCGCGGUAAUACGGAGGGUGCGAGCGUUAAUCGGAAUUACUGGGCGUAAAGCGCAUGCAGGUGGUUCAUUAAGUCAGAUGUGAAAGCCCGGGGCUCAACCUCGGAACUGCAUUUGAAACUGGUGAACUAGAGUGCUGUAGAGGGGGGUAGAAUUUCAGGUGUAGCGGUGAAAUGCGUAGAGAUCUGAAGGAAUACCAGUGGCGAAGGCGGCCCCCUGGACAGACACUGACACUC